UGGACAGCUGAACGGAAGUGAAGCUAACACGUCACCAAUUCCCAGACUUAGAUUCUGCAGCCUGGCGCCCCGCAUUGCAACAGCAGAGCCCCCAUGCUGUAGGAGUGACCAGCAUGGGCCCUGUGUGGCAGGAAGGGCUCCAAUUCCAGAGCAUUGAACAAUCAAAAGGCCUGAAAACUAUCUAUUUUAUUCAACUAAUUUAAACCUAGGAAAACCUCAAAUACCCAAGAAAAGUCAGCAGUGGAUAGGGAGACUGGCCCUCAGACCUCUGCUCCCCACCCUGUUCAGCAGUCCUUUCACCACACUCCGCUGCAGCCCUGCUGAGUCCAAUUCUGCUCUGGGAGCAAUUCCCAGUGGACACGUGGCAGUCCAACAAGACAGUGUUAUAACAGCAGGCUCCAAAUCAAAGGAAAAGCAGAAGACAACACACACUGUUUUAAAUAUCAUAGAGAGACCAUCCCUGAAGUUGUUUAUCGUGAUUCAGACAUGGACAAGCUUUGGGAUCUUGGACAAGUCACUUCACAUCUCUGGACUUUGUUUCUGCAGUCCUCUCUGGCCCUCCGUUCUGAGUCCCCAUGGAUAGAACUGAUCAUCACUAGAGAGAAAGGAGAGCCACAGACCUAAUCUCCCAGGUGUCAGUUAUUAACUCCACCAGUAUAACAUGCCCUCUGAGGAGUGGUGGCAGUGGCCAUCUGCAGUCCACCUCCGCAGCAAGAUGAAGCCUCCUGGAGAAGCCAUGGAGGUGGAGAGAGAUUCAGGCUCCUAACUCGGCCCAGCCCUGCACAAACACAGGGAAACUGCACCUGGGAUUGAAAGCAUUAAUUUAGAAUUUCGUUGUCCUGGGCAUUCCAGCAACUCUGUGAUUCUCUAUUAGAGUUGAAGACACUGAGGCUCUGAGAGGUCACAUAAUUGUCCAAAGGGUGUAAGGGUACGAUGAGAGGGGACAGAGAGAGAGAGAGAUAGAGACAGCAUGCACUUGAGGUUUGAGACCCUCGAGGUGGAAGGACAUGUCAGCUUUAACUUGUUGACUGUCUUCUGUGACAAGAACUUUACAUACUUUAUCUCAUUAAAUCCUCACAAUAGCCAUGCAAUGUAGGUGUCAAAAACCCAUAUUACAAAAGAGUAAAAUGAAGUUGAGACAGGUCAGAGUGAUUCCAGGCACACAGCUGUUGGAUGACAGCACUGGUCUUCUCACUUGCUUUUUCUGAUUCCCAAAUCUUUGAUCUUCCCACUCUCUUGGGAUGCCUCAAGGCUGUGUGGACACACGGCCAGAACAUUCCUCCACUCAAUGUUGUGUAACCACAGGACAAAGAAGAAGACAGUGGCCUUCAACACUUGAUGUGAAAAUGUGGCAUGAGAAGAGCCAGUGAUCAAUCCAAUCUUGAUCAGAAUGUCAUUACCUCUGGUGAGAAAGCCACUGUCUGAGCACCUCUGGUCACCUUAUCCUGUGCCUUGUCAUCAGGUACACGAUAUGUGGGAGAGUCUGGAAUCCUCAUAAGGAAAGGACGGAGGCAGGGCUGUGAUAGAAAGCCCGUCUCCUUCCCUAGCUCUUUGCCUCAAUUAGCUUAAGAUACAAAUAGCCCCACAUAGUCUCACAAAGUCUUUCUACGAGUUGCCAAGUUGCGUUGUUUCCCACGGAACUGUAACAUUUUAUGAAUACAGUUAUUUAUGAGUGGUUCCACCCUAGUGGGAAAAAGAUAGGUUACAG
rnacentral:lncRNA from 1 species